GACGAACGCUGGCGGCGUGCUUAACACAUGCAAGUCGAACGGAAAGGCCCUGCUUGCAGGGUACUCGAGUGGCGAACGGGUGAGUAACACGUGGGUGAUCUGCCCUGCACUUCGGGAUAAGCCUGGUAAACUGGGUCUAAUACCGGCUAGGAGCCAUUUUUAGUGUGAUGGUUGGAAAGUUUUUUCGGUGUAGGAUGAGCUCGCGGCCUAUCAGCUUGUUGGUGGGGUAAUGGCCUACCAAGGCGGCGACGGGUAGCCGGCCUGAGAGGGUGGACGGCCACAUUGGGACUGAGAUACGGCCCAGACUCCUACGGGAGGCAGCAGUGGGGAAUAUUGCACAAUGGGCGCAAGCCUGAUGCAGCGACGCCGCGUGGGGGAUGACGGCCUUCGGGUUGUAAACUCCUUUCGCUAGGGACGAAGCUUUUUGUGACGGUACCUAGAUAAGAAGCACCGGCUAACUACGUG
rnacentral:rRNA from 1 species